rnacentral:rRNA from 1 species
AGCUGCGGCAGCGACACUCAGGUGUUGUUGGGUAGGGGAGCGUUCUGUAAGCCUGCGAAGGUGGCCUGUGAGGGUUGCUGGAGGUAUCAGAAGUGCGAAUGCUGACAUAAGUAACGAUAAAGCGGGUGAAAAGCCCGCUCGCCGGAAGACCAAGGGUUCCUGUCCAACGUUAAUCGGGGCAGGGUGAGUCGACCCCUAAGGCGAGGCCGAAAGGCGUAGUCGAUGGGAAACGGGUUAAUAUUCCCGUACUUGGUGUUACUGCGAAGGGGGGACGGAGAAGGCUAUGUUGGCCGGGCGACGGUUGUCCCGGUUUAAGCGUGUAGGUGUGUGUUCCAGGUAAAUCCGGUU